rfam:Gossypium arboreum cultivar AKA8401 contig_355702_1, whole genome shotgun sequence.
GGGUGCGAUUAUACCAGCACUAAUGCGCUGGAUCCCAUCAGAACUCCGUAGUUUAAGCGUGCUUGGGCGAGAGUAGUACUAGGAUGGGUGACUUGGUGAGAAGUCCUCGUGUUGCACCCC